CAUCUGACAAAAGCCGAGAAAUGGUUUUAGAAAAAGCGUAAUCAAAGGCAAAACAUUUUCUACAACAUGAAAACAUUUUUCCCACCAAACCCACGGGGGCGCUUCUACUGGUUGUAGUUAUUUCUUCUCUUUGGACUUUGGAAUAUCUCUAUACAACAAUGGCGGCAUUCAGAAGGAACCGGGCAUGUCAAUCGCAACGAAUAUCCUAAAAAACCCUUACCGGAGCAUCUUCAAAAUUCGACAAGUCGUUAGCAGUGAUGUCAUCACCACCCACGUGGCCAAGUGGAUGCAGGUAGCAAAUUUCCUCAAAAUAUUUGUCAGAACAAAGUUGAUGAUUGAAGAAAUUUUGCUUCACUUACCUGUUUACCACUUUUUCUUUCUUCUUUUUUGGUAAAGGUCAAUUUGGAGUUGCAUGUAUCGGAAUAUUUGUUAUGCCCUAGCUUAUUGAUACAUAGAUAUCCAAAUUAAAAAAUUAACCUUUCUAAGUUUCAAUGUUCUCCAUUGUGAUUGCGACCAACCAGACAAGUAGCUGAAAGUGAUUAAGAGCAUGCAUUGUUGCUUUGCUUCACGUUUUUUUGUACUGAAUAACCGUUUCCACAAUUUACUCAACUUUUGAAUUAUAUGCACUUUCCCUCACGUCAAAAGUACUUCUGAAACUCGAGACAUAAGCAGAACUAAAGUAGAUACUUGGAGGGGAACUCAUAAACAAGUCUAAUUUUAAAAUAAUUUAACUAAGGGGAGCAUUUCUUUUAUUAUUAUCUGAAUUAUAAUUUUUCCCAAAGAAGAAAAAGGACUAUCUUUUUUUGUUUAUCCUCCUUUUAUAGUCUUUUACCUAUCUUGCCCUGGUAGGAGCACAACUUGUGAUGUGUGGAUUAGGUGCAUGUUAUAGGAACCUUACAAAUCCAGGUAUUUAAGUGGAGAAAGGGUAAAGAGGCGGACCAAUUAUCCACCGAGUUUCAAAUCAUGUGUCACUUGGCCUCAUGAAUUUCUCAGAUAUUACCUAUCUUGUUUCAAGCUCAUAUAGUUAUCAACGGGCAAAUAUGUAUGUAUGGGUAAGAAUUGAUCUCUAAAGUUAUUAUUAGGAUGCUGUGUAAGUACUUUCAUGGUAAUUUUUGUAUCAGUUGCAGAAACAAGCGGAUGUUGAAUAUAUAUGCAAAUUGCAUCGUGAUUAUGCCUUGCGUAUAUCACAUUUGAAACUUAUAUUGUAAAUGAGUAAAUCUUGUUUUAAACAUAUACUCAAAAUUAUUGCUCAAGUAAGGGAUUUGUGCUUAAAGUUUCUGCUUGAAUAAAUGCUUAAGGAAUGUAUCUGAAUGAAAUUUACAUUCUUCCUGUGCGUAACUGCAUCCUACUUUUUCUGCUCAUGCGGGACAUUGCUUAGCUUCAUUUGCUGUUAUAAAAACAAUGAGGAUCUUGUAUCCACAAAAGUAGAUAUUCAAGGAUGAGAGUAUUAGUGAAGAUCUGAUUCACUCUAUUUUGCCGUUCUUUAUGGUCCAGCCCUUCCCCGGACCCUGUGCAUAGCGGGAGCUUAGUGCACCGGGCUGCCUUUUCUUCUUUUCUUUUUUUAAUCAUUGGAGAUAAGUGUAGGAGAGAACUUGACAAAGCAUUCGACUGUAUGCCACCUGCAUAAGUAAGAGAAAUCGACUGAUUGCUCAAAAAGCUUUUUCAUGCAAUAUGGUAUAAGGUAAAAUGCAAAAGUUAAUCUAAAAUUUAGUUAUGGAAAAUACCAGGUGAAAAAAUUAGUUAUAGGAAAAACGGCCAGGAUAAUAAAGUUUGUGAAAACCAAAAGCUAUUACCCAAGCAGCUAGCUAUGUGUAUUUUAGUAUUUUAUUUGAAGGAGAUCUCUUUAUAGUCUCUUUUAGUGAUUUGAAGGGUUGAAAAGGAAACUAAAGGUUAAUGACAGCAGAUGAGAGUGCAUGAAGCUAGAAAGGAAGCAUUGAUUAGAAAUCAGAUAAGCUGUAUCUGCAGUAUAAUUUCUUUGACCGCUUGUAAGGUUAUGCAUGUGCAGAUAUUAAUAUGGCUGGAGUAUUAUUCCACUAAAGAAGAAAUUAAUUACUGAUCAAAUUUUUGCUUUAUGGUUAAAGUGCCAAUGAAGAAGAGUUGGUGUCAUCGUAGAAGAGAUUAUAGCAUAAGAGAUUACUCCAUCCAACUUUACUGUUCCCUUUGAAACAGAAUCAUGAAGAUGAUGUGAAGAAAUAAGUAGCGAUCUUUAUAAUUCUAUACACAGAAAGAGAUGAAAGUUUAGGUCAAAAGAACCACAGAUCAAAGAAAAGAUGGCGACAUUUCCCUAGUCAUUAUAUGAGGAGUCAGUCCAAUGCCUUGCUCCAUUAUUUACGUAUCUUAUUAAGUGAGGUUGCUCAGUACCACAUAAGGAGACUACAAUCCAUACUCCCAACUAAUGAGAGAUGCUUAACGACCCCUGCGUGCCUAGGGCUAGACAUCUGGAGUAUGGACAACAUAACUUUGGGAGCCAUCAGAAUUGAGACGAGUCUAGUUGUGAUAUCAUGUAAGAAAGGGGGGAUUGGGGCUAAUUUAACACGAAAACCCAGCUCAUUAACCUUGAGGUGCGAUUCACUAGUUGAACUGCGAAAUUAGAGUUUACCAUGUUCUUCUUGUAUGUACUCUCUCAGCUUCCGAAAGCGAGACUAAUCUGUAAAAACUGAAGGCUAUCCUGAAGGGAAUUACCUCACUUCAAAUUUCUCCAUUCACAGGAUGCAUAGAUGGGACCUAGAUGGAGAUUGAGCUGUAAGUUCAGUUUCAUGGGGAAUAUGGCAGUGAUAUAGAGGAACAAGAGCAUGCAUGUUUGGAAUGCCUAAAGCCUCUGUGUUUGCUAGAAUUGUUGCUAGAAUCCAGUAGGAAAAGAAUUUUUUCUCUGAUGGAAGUUCAACAACAGUUUUAGCAUAUGAAUCAACUACAUACCACCUGCCAUUAUUGCCAGGAAUUAUUUUCCUGCUGGAUUCCAGCAGCAAUUCUAGAAAGUACAGCAUCUCCUGUCAUACCAAAUAUGCAUGCUCCUUGUUCCUCCGUAUCACUACCUCACUUUCCAUGGAACUGGACUUAUAGCCCAAUCUCUAUCCAGAUUCCAUCCAUGUAUCAUAUGAAUGGAGCAAUUGGAAGUGAGGUAAUUCCCUUCAGGAAAGCUUGCAUCUUGUUCUAAUUCUUCAACUCGCCUUCAAAAGUUUCUAUUUAAUGGAGUAUCAAUUACGUGGGCCAGAGAGGAGAAAAGAUAAAACUCUUUGGGAAAAGAAGAUAGAUGAGAUUGAGAUUGUGAUAGCGAAUAAGGAAGAUUCUUGUACUAGAUUCUGUUAUUGGUGAAGGAUAGAUCUCUAUGCUUCCUAUAUUUGAUUUCAAGCAAGGUUGGUUGAGAAGUUCCAUGUAGAACUAGGAUUCCGGAAAGCACAGUACUCUCUAUCUUGGUUCAUAGUUGAUAAGAGAUAUUAGAUCUAUUCAGAUUCAACACAGAAAAUCAGAAAUCACAUGAAGAGGCCAAAGAAGAUUUAGAAAGUUAGAAGAGGGAAAUGGAGAGUGGGGCGGCGUAUUAGGGUAAAGAAACUGAGAAUCCAUCACCAUAAUUCACAGAUAACACAAUAUAUUUAUAUGCAAGCCAGGAGUAAAUUGGUAAAAUCACAUACAAAAAAAAUAAAUAUCUUCAACCCUAAGUAGGUGAAUGGGCUAUUGGGCUGAAUGGACCGAGUGGGCUGCGCCUGGAUCAGGCAGAAAUGAAUGUGGCGCAACUCAUCCGUUAAGGUACCCAUUUUCCCUGACAGAAAUGUUUUCUUUAUCAGUUUUGCAAUUAACUUCUAUUCUAUCUUUGACUUCCAUUAGUCUUUGCUAUAUCCGUAUCCAUUCUUCUUUUCUCUAGAUAUGAGUUGACACAAUACUUAUUUGCUUUGACGAAUGAGCCCUAUAGCGGAUUAUCGUUCUUAGUUUCCAGUAUACCUUACUGCCUAAAUUAGUCGAUUAUCCUUUAAGGUCCUAAACUCAACUUCUUCUGUGGUCGGGUAGCAUAUCUUGUUAAAAGAACUCCAACAAUCACUACUAGCAAGAAAUCUCCAAUGGAAUUGAUUAAUAAAGUUCCACGUACCAAAGCUCAGGGCAGGAUACAGCCUGUGAAGGAGAUACUAAUCCUGCUCUUAGGCAUUCAAUUGAGUUUAUAUGCCUUGAUCUGGAAGAGCAUGCAGUAUGCAAGUACUGUGGUUUACGCUAUGUUCAAGAUCGUCACCUCUAGAGCUACAUAACGGAACUUCCUGAAUUUGCAAAGAAGAGCCUUCUUCAUUUAUAAGCAAGCAGCUGUGAUGGUUAUUAUGUUUAGUUCCCAAGCUAUCAUUUAAUACUUAGCAUCUAUGGUGCAACAACUAUUAUGCUUCAAUGGUAGUGCUAGAAAAAGGAAAAAUUCGCCCACACGAAUUUCGCUACUUCCAGGCAUUAUUCGGGUCACACAGCAGAAGACUGUGGAACUGGAGGAUGAUCUCGUGGACGGUUUCGUUCUUGCUUGGAGGCUUCUCGCGAUCGCGGUCACGCUUCAAGAGAUAAGUAUCGAUUUUAUGUUCGAUUAAAAUCUGUGAUUAUGUGUUGUCUAUAUUACAUGCAAGUGAUCCUGGCUAUUUGCUUCCGCUGUUCAUACCUGUUAUCCAUCAGAUUCCUGGCUAAUAAUUCUUCGUGAUCUUUAAUCUCCUCUCGGAACGGUGCUACUUGAUUGGAUCAACUUCUUCCCCUUCUCAUUAUGGCACCUCUGGUUAAACCGUAAUAACAAUAUCUUCAAUAACUUAACCAACACCUUGCCUUCUUCACUUGUAUUCAACCGCUCGUUGGAAUUUAAAUAACUCAAAUCCACCCGCCAAAACUCCAACAACCAGUUGUCCAUCCUCAUUAUUUGGUUCCCCCCUCCCUUAGUAACUCUUAAGCUUAAAAUUGACGGAUCAUUUAAAAACUCUCAACUUCUUGGUGGGCUUAUAGGAGUUGUUAGAAACUCGGAAGGUAAUUGGAUCGUAGGUGCUGCAAUGGCUGUUUAUGCUUACAAUGCUACUCAUAUGGAAUUGCUGGCACUCAAACAGGGACUGUAACUGGCAGUGGAGCAUCACCUUUCAUCACUAAUAAUCGAAACAGACUCUACAGAUGUAACUCAGCUUCUGGAGCAUACAUAUGAUUUUAUAAUCUCCGAAUGCAGGUUCCUGUUGAAGAAACUGGGGAAUCUAGUGAUCCACCUCUGCUUCCGUGAGGGCAAUAAAGUGGCAAACAUUUUGGCUCAACAAGCAUCUAAGGGAGUUCUAUCCAACCAUCAGCCUAUCUUCUCAUCUCCGCUGCACUAUGUUGAUAAGGAAAUGCAGGCUGACCAGGAAGGAAUGGGCACUACUAAUAACUAUCUCUACUUGUAGUAAUCUGUCUAGUUUUUUUAACUUAAGUGUACUUAGUGACCCUAACGUGAAUGGUCACCACUCUACUAAUGUAAUGACUGUUUUUUAUACAUAUAUAUAUCCUUUCUACCAAAAAAGAAAAAAAGAAGCAUCCAUUUUGUUAAUGCACGAGCUCAGCCACUGCUUUGCUGCUGCAAGUCUGCAUUUCUCA